GGGAGAGAGAGAGAGUGGGAGAGAGAGAGAGAGUGGGAGAGAGAGAGAGAAGAAGAGAGAGAGAGAGGGAGAGAGAGAGAGAGAGAGUGGGAGAGAGAGAGAGAGAGAGGAGUAAACAUGGCCGCUUGGCACAGCGCUGAUAUCCGAACACAGAUUAGCAGAUUGAAUGAGACGAGGCUGGCGGGGUGUGCGCGUGUGUGUGCGCGUGUGUGUGUAGUGGGAUGUUAAUAGAGAGUGAUCCUGGACUGUGUUUUAUGCCCUAUGCAGUGUCAGUGUGUUGCUUUAGUUGUGCGCUUGUGCUGGUCGCUUGUUGUCUGUGUGUAAAGCGGUUGUUAAAUUCAGGGCUGUGUUUAAUUAAUAACGUGGUGCGUUUAUAACGAGCAGAUCGUUAACUCGGAGCUCAGUGUUGCUUUUCUGCUGCCCUAAUUACCGUGGUUUUGGUCUGGAUCGUUGUUGGGAAUGUUCCUGACUCUGUGUGUGUCCAGUAUCAGUGUGUGUGUGUGUGUGUGUGUGUGUGUGUGUGUGUGUGUGUGUGGAGAUGAUUUGAUCCACUUUAUUUUUGCAUGAGUACUCGUGAGAGUCGAGAACCUUUUUUAAAGCUCAGUUCAGCUCAGUGGAACACGUUCGUGACGUUGUGGAAGUGUAACUCAUAUCGUCCGCUGUAGUGUAAACGGUUUCCACGUUAGUCGCUCGUUACGGUAGAUGAUGUUUAAUGAAGUCAGACUUUUAUUUACACAUCGAUUCGUUAAACAAUCCUGAAGUUUCCUAUCGUUUAUAAAGUUCAAAUAAGUUCCUAAAAUGACAGAUGGUUAUGUUAAAUAUUAAGCGGAUGACGCCAGACUAUUUAGGGGGAAAUGAGGGUUUUAGAUGUUUAUAUUAUAAUGAAGCAUCAGAAUGAAUAUUAUUCACUGAAACCGAACAAUUAUAAUACAAGUCAUAUAAUAAUAAUAAUAAUAAUAAUAAUAAUAAUAAUAAUAAUAAUAAAACCCCACUUGACUUUGUGCUGUUACAUAAAUUCCAAAAACGAUAUGAUUAUUUUACUGUACAUUAAUUAAUGUCUAAUAACGUACUAUAAAACAAUCAUUUAAAAACCCUCACAUUUACAGAUCAGUUCUUUCAGGAAGAUAUUACUCUGAGGGUGUUCUUUUUUUUAAAAUGAAGUGACAGUAAAGAAAUGUUUACCUGUUUUCUGACACUGCAUUUAAUAUUAUUUCACUGUAUUAUUUUUAUUCUAAUUAUUAUAUAUCUUUGUUUGUGUGUGUGUGUGUGUGUGUGUGUGUGUGUGUGUGUGUGUGUGUGUGAAAACCACUAUUUGUAUCGUUUUUAGUCUAAAAGAUUUUGGGUAAAACUGAGACUUGUAAUAUUAUCUAGACCAAACGUUUCAUACUAUGUGAUGGUUAUAUGAAGACAUUUUUAUCGGAAUGUUUUUGUUUACCUGAUUCUCUUGUUUAUUUGAGUUAUUUUGUAGUUUUUAUGCCUGAAAAUGAUUUUUGUGUUAAUUUUUGGUCAAACAUAACGUGUGGACAGACGUUCAGUGCAUCACUACUACAGGUUUGUUGUAAGGUUUAAUUUUCUAAAUAGAAAUGAAAAAUAGACGUGACUGUAGACCAAAGGUUUUACACUUUCCCUGUGUAUUAUCUAUUAAAAUAUGAAUGAAUGGUUAGUGUGACUUAUAUUCACGGCAGCUUGGAUUUUGGGCAGAUUUUGGGCUGAUUGCACUCGAGUUUAUAUGCUGUACUGUAGAGACCUGAUUAAAGAUCAAACAAAAGCUCUAUGAUAUGAUAUAUGAUCAUUUCUGUAUGACUCUACACAGACGGUUAUGUCGUAAGCCAUAUGAGCGUGAGGUGUAUGCACGAGUCUGUAUUUUUAUUUCCUCGUGCGAGGGUCACUGUGAUGAGUGCUCACAGGUGCUGAAGGUUUGCGUUACUGCCAUUCUUUACAAUUCUGCCUUAUUUCACCUAACAAUAAGUGCAAUAUAUAUCUAUAUCUAUAUUUAUAUUUACUUCUGUAUUUAAUCACAGCCAGAUUAAUGAUUGUAGAGCUAAAAGUCUGCGUUUUGGACUCGGCCCUGUGUAUCGAUUUAUUAUUUUUUUACUUUGGUCCUUUUUUUUUUCUUCUUCUUCUUUUUUUCUUUUUUUUUUUUUUUUUUAAAUCCAGAGCGUACAAGUGAUGCAUGAGAGCGUGGAAAUUAAUGUGCUGUAACAUGAACGUGUGUGUGUGUGUGUUGAUGUUGACAAUAACACUGUAAAUGUCUGUUAAUGAACUUCAACAGCUAGCUUCAGCAAGAGAUAUUAACAUUCGUGUCUUUGGUUUAAUACUAAUAGAGUUGUCUCAUUUAUAUAUAUAUAUAAAUAUAUAUAUAUAUAAAUACUGUUGUGGUAAAAACUUAGCGCAUGACAGUAUUUCACUGAAAUUGUAUAAUUCUAUCUCUAAUCAGAGUUGUUUGAUUUAAUCGUGAGUGUGUAAUGUACUUGUGUGAAUCCAAAAAUACGUCCACAAAGCUGUGUGCUACUAUUUUAAGCUAUAAAUAUAAAUCUAUGGAUAGAAUAUAAUACCAUAUAAUAUAAUAAGGAUCAAGGCCAAGUUUAAACGACUCUUUAGACAAGUCUGAAGACCUUCUGAGAAAGUACCUUAAAACAUUUAAAACAUUAUGGAAAAACAAAUGAGUGCAUUUGUAAUGUAAGAUCUUCCUUUCUCAUAGGCAAUAAAGGUCACAUUGCAAUAUAAAUACUUUCCAUGUCAGUAUUUUCUUUAUUUCCAGUCAGUACAUACGACACAAAACUAACAACACACGGAACACGAUUUGCACGUUUAAACAGACACUGCAGAAAUAAAUAAAUAAAUAUCUAGUGAAAUUAUCUUGAAUAUUAUUCAACAUAUCUGGUAUUUCCUAUGAUAAGCUUACCGUAAAGAUACCAUAAAUAUAAGAUUAUUAAACCUAUUUCUAGGCAUUAUUUACUCAUUUUAAGCUUGAAAUCGAUUUGUUCUGUUGAGCAGGUAGUUUUGUAAUUUUAUGCGUUUAUUUCUAAAAAAGAAGCAAAAUUAUCUGCCAAUAGAAUGAAAAGCUUGAAAUUAGUAAAAAAUAAAUAAAUUUAAGUCUAUAAAUAGUUUUGAUUAUCUCAUAGUGUACUGUACGUGGUUUCUGGUCAUCUUGUAAUAGGAAAUACAGCUGACUAUGUUCAAGAUCAUUUCCUAAGAUGUCGGUUUUUGCGAUGUUUAGACAAAAAUCUCAUUUAUACAUCUUGUAUGCAAUUUUUUUCCCUUUUAGUGUUCUUUUAAGACGGUAAAUCAACCCAAAAAUUGUACAGUGAAAACUUCUUCGGUCUUUGUACAAAUUAAAAUGGAUAUUAGAAAGUUGUUUUGUUUAAAUGGAAAUGUAAUUGAGUAACAUUACAGAAGACUCAAGAACCUGGGUUCUGUUAGUUCUAGUUUGAAUGUUAAAUACUUUAAAGUUUAUGAACUAAUGUGGCAGAGUUUCAGCAAAACUUUAAAUAACUUUAAACUCACACCUAACACCCUGCAGUGCAGCGUUAUACCGCCCAUUUUCUUACGUUAUA
ensembl:lncRNA